GGGGAGGCCGGGCCCCGGCGGCGGCGUUCGCUCCGCUGCCUGUCCCGGCCGGGCCCUGGCGGUUACCUGGCGGGCUGGCGGGGGCCGAGCUCCGCAAACCUUUCUCUUUUUUUUUUUUUCCUUCGCAUGGACGGUCCGCAGCUCGUGGGAAGUACGCGAGGUGGGGUUUUUAGCGCGGAGGUCGGCGCGCAAGCCCGAGUCGCGCCUCUGCAAACCGAGACUUUCCUCCGGGGGGGUGGGGUUCGCACCUAAGGGCUGCAGAUACUGGCUUGUAAAGGGUUCAACGACGGUCUGCAGAGGAACGUUUUCCAAAAUCUUAAGUUUGUUUAAAACGUAAACUCUUCUUAUUACAUGGAUGUUUUAAAAGAAGAACUUCAAAAACCUUAGGAAACAAAAAUAGAAAUCCCGAGCGUCGGUGUUAAACUUUAAGAAGCGAAUCUCUGUUUCUUUUCAAAAGCCUUCUUACACGUACGUGUUUACACAGUGAACUGCUUUGGUGGAAAGAUCCUGGCCCAUGCCUGACCAGCGUCAAGACUAUUAAGCUGGCCCGACGGGUUACCUAGGGAUUCCCGUGCUUUGGAGAGCCUUUUGUUAACGUGAAGCUGAUGUGGCCAUUUUCUGCUUCCUCCCCUGGGGUUCGUGUUGCAUGAAGUAAACGCCGUGUGGCCAGAGUGCAGGGAGCAACGAUUUCCCAGCGCUGAGUGUUCUGCAGAGAAAAACUGGUUUCUACCUACUGAGGUUAAAGGAUUAAUGAAUACUUGGCACAUGAAAAAUGAAUUGUGAUAGCAGGAAGAUUGCAUGUAGGCAGUGUGAUAAGGUGCGUAACAGAGAAACAUCAUGUUAUACAUGUUGCCAUGCCCUGAGAAGGAGACGAAGCUCAUUUCCAUUGAAUUUCAGAUAAAAUAUUUAAAAACAUCAAUA